rnacentral:rRNA from 1 species
GAUGAACGCUAGCUACAGGCUUAACACAUGCAAGUCGCGGGGCAGCAUGAAUUUAGCUUGCUAAAUUUGAUGGCGACCGGCGCACGGGUGAGUAACGCGUAUCCAACCUGCCCAUGUCCACGGGAUAGCCCGUCGAAAGGCGGAUUAAUACCGUAUGAGGUCACACGAUGGCAUCAGAAUGUGACGAAAGGUUUGGCGGACAUGGAUGGGGAUGCGUCCGAUUAGCUUGUUGGCGGGGUAACGGCCCACCAAGGCGACGAUCGGUAGGGGGUUCUGAGAGGAAGGUCCCCCACAUUGGAACUGAGACACGGUCCAAACUACCUACCGGGGAGGGCAGCAGUGAGGAAUAUUGGUCAAUGGGCGGUGAGCCUGAACCAAGCCAAGUAGCGUGCAGGAUGAC